rnacentral:rRNA from 1 species
UUUCUCCGCCGGCGACCGGCGCACGGGUGAGUAACACGUAUGCAACCUGCCCUUGUCAGGGGGACAACCCGCCGAAAGGCGGGCUAAACCCGCGUACAUGCCACCGGGGCAUCCCGGAGGCAGGAAAGGCUUCGGCCGGACAGGGAUGGGCAUGCGGCGCAUUAGGCAGUAGGCGGGGUAACGGCCCACCUAACCGACGAUGCGUAGGGGUUCUGAGAGGAAGGUCCCCCACACUGGUACUGAGACACGGACCAGACUCCUACGGGAGGCAGCAG